UGGGUGAUCUGCCCUGCACUUCGGGAUAAGCCUGGGAAACUGGGUCUAAUACCGGAUAUGACUCCUCAUCGCAUGGUGGGGGGUGGAAAGCUUUAUUGUGGUUUUGGAUGGACUCGCGGCCUACCAGCUUGUUGGUGAGGUAAUGGCUCACCAAGGCGACGACGGGUAGCCGGCCUGAGAGGGUGACCGGCCACGCUGGGACUGAGACACGGCCCAGACUCCUACGGGAGCAG
rnacentral:rRNA from 1 species